GAUUGAACGCUGGCGGCAGGCCUAACACAUGCAAGUCGAACGGUAACAGGAAGCAGCUUGCUGCUUCGCUGACGAGUGGCGGACGGGUGAGUAAUGUCUGGGAAACUGCCUGAUGGAGGGGGAUAACUACUGGAAACGGUGGCUAAUACCGCAUAACGUCGCAAGACCAAAGAGGGGGACCUUCGGGCCUCUUGCCAUCAGAUGUGCCCAGAUGGGAUUAGCUUGUUGGUGAGGUAACGGCUCACCAAGGCGACGAUCCCUAGCUGGUCUGAGAGGAUGACCAGCCACACUGGAACUGAGACACGGUCCAGACUCCUACGGGAGGCAGCAGUGGGGAAUAUUGCACAAUGGGCGCAAGCCUGAUGCAGCCAUGCCGCGUGUAUGAAGAAGGCCUUCGGGUUGUAAAGUACUU
rnacentral:rRNA from 1 species